rnacentral:ncRNA from 1 species
AAAAGACUUAGUCCUAACCUUGCAGUUAGCUCCUGCUAAACAUAUACAUGCAAGUAUCUGCGUUCCAGUGUAAAUGCCCUCGCUUUUCCUCAAGGAAAAGGAGGAGCAGGUAUCAGGCACACCAGCCGUUGUAGCCCAAGACACCUUGCUCGGCCACACCCCCACGGGUACUCAGCAGUAAUUAACAUUAAGCCAUAAGCGUAAGCUUGACUUAGUUAUAGCAGCCCCAGGGUUGGUAAAUCUUGUGCCAGCCACCGCGGUCACACAAGAGACCCAAGUUAACUGCCAUACGGCGUAAAGAGUGGUGUCGCGCUGUCUUCGCCCAACUAAGACUAAAAUGUAUCUAAGCUGUCAUAAGCCCAAGACACUCCUAGAACCGCCCUCAAACUUGAUCUUAGCCGGCCUAAGACUAAUUAAACCCCACGAAAGCUAAGGCACAAACUGGGAUUAGAUACCCCACUAUGCUUAGCCCUAAAUCUUGAUAUUUUAUCUACUAAAAUAUCCGCCCGAGAACUACGAGCACAAACGCUUAAAACUCUAAGGACUUGGCGGUGCCCCAAACCCACCUAGAGGAGCCUGUCCUGUAAUCGAUAACCCACGAUACACCCAACCGCUCCUUGCUAGUGCAGCCUACAUACCGCCGUCGCCAGCUCACCUCACAUGAGAGUGCCUGCAGUGAGCACAAUAGCCCCACCAUGCUAGCAAGACAGGUCAAGGUAUAGCCAACGGAGCGGAAGAGAUGGGCUACAUUUUCUACAAUAGAAAACCAACGAAAGGAGGCAUGAAACUUGUCUCUAGAAGGCGGAUUUAGCAGUAAAGCGGGAUAAUAAAGCCCACUUUAAGCCGGCCCUGGGGUACGUACAUACCGCCCGUCACCCUCCUCGCAAGCUACGACCCCAUAUAACUAAUGCGUACUUCAGCUGAAGAUGAGGUAAGUCGUAACAAGGUAAGUGUACCGGAAGGUGUACUUAGCACACC